GACGAACGCUGGCGGCGUGCUUAACACAUGCAAGUCGAACGGAAAGGCCCUGCUUUUGUGGGGUGCUCGAGUGGCGAACGGGUGAGUAACACGUGAGUAACCUGCCCUUGACUUUGGGAUAACUUCAGGAAACUGGGGCUAAUACCGGAUAGGAGCUCCUGCUGCAUGGUGGGGGUUGGAAAGUUUCGGCGGUUGGGGAUGGACUCGCGGCUUAUCAGCUUGUUGGUGGGGUAGUGGCUUACCAAGGCUUUGACGGGUAGCCGGCCUGAGAGGGUGACCGGCCACAUUGGGACUGAGAUACGGCCCAGACUCCUACGGGAGGCAGCAGUGGGGAAUAUUGCACAAUGGGGGGAAGCCUGAUGCAGCAACGCCGCGUGCGGGAUGACGGCCUUCGGGUUUUAAACCGCUUUCGCCUGUGACGAAGCGUGAGUGACGGUAAUGGGUAAAGAAGCACCGGCUAACUACGUG
rnacentral:rRNA from 1 species